GCUCCGGUGGCUUAAUGGUUAAAGCUUCCGCCUCGGAUGCGGGAGGUAGGUAGCGGGUUCUAUCCCCGGUAAAGUCAUACCAAAGCC